rnacentral:rRNA from 1 species
UGGUGGUUAUGGCGGAGCGGCUGCACCCGAUCCCAUUCCGAACUCGGCCGUGAAACGCUCCAGCGCCAAUGGUACUUUGU